rnacentral:rRNA from 1 species
CCUUUACUAUAGCUUGACACUGAACAUUGAGCCUUGAUGUGUAGGAUAGGUGGGAGGCUUUGAAGUGUGGACGCCAGUCUGCAUGGAGCCGACCUUGAAAUACCACCCUUUAAUGUUUGAUGUUCUAACGUGGACCCGUAAUCCGGGUUGCGGACAGUGUCUGGUGGGUAGUUUGACUGGGGCGGUCUCCUCCUAAAGAGUAACGGAGGAGCACGAAGGUUGGCUAAUCCUGGUCGGACAUCAGGAGGUUAGUGCAAUGGCAUAAGCCAGCUUGACUGCGAGCGUGACGGCGCGAGCAGGUGCGAAAGCAGGUCAUAGUGAUCCGGUGGUUCUGAAUGGAAGGGCCAUCGCUCAACGGAUAAAAGGUACUCCGGGGAUAACAGGCUGAUACCGCCCAAGAGUUCAUAUCGACGGCGGUGUUUGGCACCUCGAUGUCGGCUCAUCACAUCCUGGGGCUGAAGUAGGUCCCAAGGGUAUGGCUGUUCGCCAUUUAAAGUGGUACGCGAGCUGGGUUUAGAACGUCGUGAGACAGUUCGGUCCCUA